rnacentral:rRNA from 1 species
CAGCACCUCAAGUGGUCAGGAUGAUUAUUGGGCCUAAAGCAUCCGUAGCCUGCUUUGUCAGUUUUCGGUUAAAUCCAUACGCUCAACGUAUGGGCUGCCGGGAAUACUACAAGGCUAGGGAGUGGGAGAGGUAGACGGUACCCGGUAGGAAGGGGUAAAAUCCUUUGAUCUAUUGAUGACCACCUGUGGCGAAGGCGGUCUACCAGAACACGUCCGACGGUGAGGGAUGAAAGCUGGGGGAGCGAACCGGAUUAGAUACCCGAGUAGUCC